CCUACGGGAGCAGCAGUGGGGAAUAUUGGACAAUGGGCGAAAGCCUGAUCCAGCCAUGCCGCGUGUGUGAAGAAGGCCUUCGGGUUGUAAAGCACUUUCAGUGGGGAAGAAAGCCUUGGGGCUAAUACCCUCGAGGAAGGACAUCACCCACAGAAGAAGCACCGGCUAACUCCGUGCCAGCAGCCGCGGUAAUACGGAGGGUGCGAGCGUUAAUCGGAAUUACUGGGCGUAAAGCGCGCGUAGGCGGUCUGAUAAGCCGGUUGUGAAAGCCCCGGGCUCAACCUGGGAACGGCAUCCGGAACUGUCAGGCUAGAGUGCAGGAGAGGAAGGUAGAAUUCCCGGUGUAGCGGUGAAAUGCGUAGAGAUCGGGAGGAAUACCAGUGGCGAAGGCGGUCUUCUGGACUGACACUGACGCUGAGGUGCGAAAGCGUGGGUAGCAAACAGGAUUAGAUACCCUUGUAGUC
rnacentral:rRNA from 1 species